UACGUAGGGUGCAAGCGUUGUCCGGAAUUAUUGGGCGUAAAGAGCUCGUAGGCGGUCUGUCGCGUCGGCUGUGAAAACCCGGGGCUCAACCCCGGGCCUGCAGUCGAUACGGGCAGACUAGAGUGUGGUAGGGGAGACUGGAAUUCCUGGUGUAGCGGUGAAAUGCGCAGAUAUCGGUAGGAACACCAGUGGCGAAGGCGGUCUCCUGGGGCAUUCUUGACGCUGAGGCGCGAAAGCUGGGGGAGCAAACGGG
rnacentral:rRNA from 1 species